rnacentral:rRNA from 1 species
CUGGCGGCGUGCCUAAUACAUGCAAGUCGAACGGCUUUUCUAUGGAAGCUUGCUUCCACUGAGAAGAUAGUGGCGAACGGGUGAGUAACACGUGGGUAACCUGCCCAUAAGAGGGGGAUAACAUCCGGAAACGGGUGCUAAUACCGCAUAGUUUUCUUGAUCGCAUGAUCGGGAAAGGAAAGACGGCCUUUGUGCUGUCGCUUAUGGAUGGACCCGCGGCGUAUUAGUUAGUUGGUGAGGUAAUGGCUCACCAAGACGAUGAUACGUAGCCGACCUGAGAGGGUGAUCGGCCACAUUGGGACUGAGACACGGCCCAAACUCCUACGGGAGGCAGCAGUAGGGAAUCUUCCGCAAUGGACGAAAGUCUGACGGAGCAACGCCGCGUGAGUGAAGAAAAGGUUUUCGGAUCGUAAAACUCUGUUGUCAGAGAAGAACAAGUUGGAGAGUAACUGCUCCAGCCUUGACGGUAUCUGACCAGAAAGCCACGGCUAACUACGUGCCAGCAGCCGC